GCAACCUGAAGCUGGCGCACGGCAACACCGUGGUGUUCCGCUCGCUGCUGGGCAUCUCGUGGAUGUGGUUCUUCGGCGCGGUGUUCCUGUCGCAGUUCCCCAGCUUCGCCAAGGACGUGCUG
rnacentral:ncRNA from 17 species